GCUCAAAGUGAUGGGAACGGCCUGAGCUUCCUGAUCAAUCGCUUAAAAUUCAGGGUCGGCUCGCUCGCGGGAGAGGGCUGCCUGCCAGCCCCGCGCACCGCGCUCUGCCGCCUCCCCCUACACCCCCUCCUUGCUUUGGCGGGGCGAUGCUGUCGUAUUGGAAAACAUCCCCGCGCUGGCUGGGGGGCCCGGUGGGGCCAGCGCUGGAAGCCGUUCCACUCGAGCAGAUGGCUGUGAAACUUUGGCGGCGAGAUAAAUUGGGUCUGACGGCGUGAGGCCGGCUCACAGAUGGGCGGGAUUCUCACGCCGGCCCCCACGUCCGGCCGGGCUGCGGGCAGGGCCGACACCGCUCA
rnacentral:lncRNA from 1 species